rnacentral:rRNA from 1 species
UACGUAGGUGGCGAGCGUUGUCCGGAUUUACUGGGCGUAAAGGGAGCGUAGGCGGGCUUUUAAGUGAGAUGUGAAAUACUCGGGCUCAACUUGAGUGCUGCAUUUCAAACUGGAAGUCUAGAGUGCAGGAGAGGAGAAUGGAAUUCCUAGUGUAGCGGUGAAAUGCGUAGAGAUUAGGAAGAACACCAGUGGCGAAGGCGAUUCUCUGGACUGUAACUGACGCCGGGGCUCGAAAGCGUGGGGAGCAAACAGG